UAUCACCAAGGAUUGUUUUUCCCACAACAUGAUUCCUGUGGGAUGCGGAAAGGACUCAAAACCAGCUUCCCUUGCUGGUUGCGACUCAGAACUAUAAAGGACGGA
rfam:Vibrio sp. 2756-81 Vn_2756-81_contig1, whole genome shotgun sequence.